rnacentral:rRNA from 1 species
GGAGCGCAACUGACGCUCAUGCUCGAAAGUGCGGGUAUCGAACAGGAUUAGAUACCCUGGUAGUCCGCACGGUAAACGAUGGAUGCCCGCUAUUUGUCCAUUAGGAUAAGUGGCCAAGUGAAAACGUUAAGCAUCCCACCUGGGGAGUACGCCGGCAACGGUGAAACUCAAAGGAAUUGACGGGGGCCCGCACAAGCGGAGGAACAUGUGGUUUAAUUCGAUGAUACGCGAGGAACCUUACCCGGGCUUGAAUUGUGAGAGAAGGAUCCAGAGAUGGUGACGCCCUUCGGGGCUCUCAUGAAGGUGCUGCAUGGUUGCCGUCAGCUCGUGCCGUGAGGUGUCGGCUUAAGUGCCAUAACGAGCGCAACCCCUCUCUUCAGUUGCCAUCAGGUUAAGCUGGGCACUCUGGAGACACUGCCACCGUAAGGUGUGAGGAAGGUGGGGAUGACGUCAAAUCAGCACGGCCUUGUACGUCCGGGGCUACACACGUGUUACAAUGGGUGGUACAGAGAGUUGGGUGCCCGCAAGGUCACUCUAAUCAAUAAAUCCAUCCUCAGUUCGGACUGGGGUCUGCAACCCGACCCCACGAAGCUGGAUUCG